GCCUCCGUGGACUAUGGUGGUCACCAAAUACAUUUCAUCCACCUCUUGAAUGCAAACGUAACUUGGAGGUGAGGGUUCAAUUCCCUCCGGAGGCA